AUGUUAAAUAUCCCACGGGAUAGCACAGGGAUGGGCUUAUGACGCAUUAGCUAGCUGGUGAGGUAGAGGCUCACCAGGGCGACGAUGCGUAGCCGGCCUGAGAGGGUGAUCGGCCACACUGGGACUGAGACACGGCCCAGACUCCUACGGGAGACAGCAGUUAGGAAUAUUCGUCAAUGGGGGAAACCCUGAACGAGCAAUGCCGCGUGAAGGAAGAAGGUCCUCUGGAUUGUAAACUUCUGUUGUUAGGGAAAAACGACACGUAUAGGAAAUGAUACGUGAGUGAUGGUACCUUUCAAGAAAGCUCCGGCUAACUAC
rnacentral:rRNA from 1 species